GAAGGCUUGUGGCUCAGAGGUAGAGCAUCUGUCUGGCAUGCUGAAGAUCCCAAAUUCAGUUCCCGGCUUCUUCA
rnacentral:tRNA from 1 species